GGAUUAGAUACCCUGGUAGUCUACGCCGUAAACGAUGGAUACUAGUUGUUUGGACUUCGGUUUGAGUGACUAAGCGAAAGUGAUAAGUAUCCCACCUGGGGAGUACGUUCGCAAGAAUGAAACUCAAAGGAAUUGACGGGGGCCCGCACAAGCGGUGGAGCAUGUGGUUUAAUUCGAUGAUACGCGAGGAACCUUACCAGGGCUUAAAUGUAGGUUGACAGGGGUAGAGAUACCUUUUUCUUCGGACAACUUACAAGGUGCUGCAUGGUUGUCGUCAGCUCGUGCCG
rnacentral:rRNA from 1 species